rnacentral:rRNA from 1 species
UACGUAAGUGGCGAGCGUUAUCCGGAAUCACUGGGCGUAAAGCGCACGUAGGCGGUUUGCUAAGUCAGGGGUGAAAUCCUGGAGCUCAACUCCAGAACUGCCUUUGAUACUGGCGGACUUGAGUCCGGGAGAGGUGAGUGGAACUGCGAGUGUAGAGGUGAAAUUCGUAGAUAUUCGCAAGAACACCAGUGGCGAAGGCGGCUCACUGGCCCGGUACUGACGCUGAGGUGCGAAAGCGUGGGGAGCAAACAGG